UACGUAGGGUGCGAGCGUUAAUCGGAAUUACUGGGCGUAAAGCGUGCGCAGGCGGUUUUGUAAGUCAGAUGUGAAAUCCCCGGGCUUAACCUGGGAACUGCGUUUGAAACUACAAGGCUAGAGUGUGGCAGAGGGGGGUGGAAUUCCACGUGUAGCAGUGAAAUUCGUAGAGAUGUGGAGGAACACCGAUGGCGAAGGCAGCCCCCUGGGUUAACACUGACGCUCAGGCACGAAAGCGUGGGGAGCAAACAGG
rnacentral:rRNA from 1 species